GGGGUUUCCCAGAGUGCUUUUUAUAUCUAGCGAAUUAUGGCUCCAGCACCGGUAGUAGUAUCGCCUCUCAUCAAGGCUGCAAGGUAUACUGCCUUGUUUGGAGGAAUAUUUUAUGGCAGUAGGAGGAGCUCUUCAAUUCAAAAGAAAGAAAACCACAAGAAGUCUAUUCUUGAAGCUGAUAAAGCGAAACAGGCAAAACAUGAAGCAGCAGUUUCCAAAACAGGUGAUAUGUUGUAGUAACACAUACUUCAUCCAUAGUAGUCAUCAGACAUUAGCUAAGAAAGUGACAGCAUCUUAAGUUAAAUGAAAGUCUCAGGGAAAAUAUCACCACUUGUGAAAACUGACUGCAGAUGAAUACUUGGAUAUUUGUAGUGCUGUUUAUGUUUUGAAUUUCACAUUAUUAGGUUAGAGAUUUGCUGUAUUUAAAUAUGUUACAAUUCUGUUGUUGGAAUUGGUAAUGAUUAAAGUGUCAAGAUUUACAAAUA